rnacentral:lncRNA from 1 species
UAGUUCAGAUUCCAUCGGAUUAGCGAAAAAAUAUUUGCGCAAUGAUCUCUUUUCUUUGAGAUCUGAAAGAAGAGAUCUAGAUCCAAAGAUAAGGAGCGAUAUCUACAAGGUACUAACACAUCAGUGAUCUUGAUGUUCUGAUCAGAUAUCUCCAUGUGGAUACCAGCAGAGGUCGGACGUGUGCGCGGCUAUGAUCAAAACUUCGGACAUCUAUAGGAUCCAAGAUAUGA